GUAACUAUAUUAUUUUAUGAAAUAUUAAAAAUUAAAUACCCAUGGGGCUUAACUUGUCUGACAUAAAUUCUCCACACUAUUGUGUAUUACUAGUUGUUUCUUGUCUGGUUGAUCUGAUGUUAACGAUGCAUAUUUACUUGAGUGCUGUUUUAACACAUGCAAUCUGAUGCAAUAUUUUUGGUGAUUUGUUCCUAGAAUCUCUUAUAUGAGAUAAUUGCAAGUCUUAGGAAUGUUACUUCUGAUACAGCAAGCUCUUCAUCUGUGCCACCUAGCAUUUCUACAGCAAAGUCUGCUGCCGAACUUCUUUCUAACAUUGCCCCAGUCGCCUGUCUAAUUAAUCCAUUAACUAAUAAAGGAGAAGAACUCAUUGGUCAUGACACUCCACAAACAGAGGACAAGCAAAGUGGCCAAGAUGAGGACUGUUGCUCUUACACAAGCUCAAACAGAGAGAGUUGGGGAAGGUGCUCAUCUCUGGGAAGUGAUGCUGAGAUUUCUACAGAUUUUGUAGAUGCCAUCGGUGGCAGUCAGAUUACGACCGAUGUGCUUGCGACCCCUCUUUGUGAUAGCCAACAUACUGCACUGGACUCAUCAAAGGACGAUGAAAAAAAGAAAGCUCCACAAGUUACAAAGAAAUCUAAGCGUGAGAAGUUUGAAAAGUUGGAGGCUCUUAGCCAGCGAUUACGGCUUUGCUUUAUGAAGAGAGUUAACCAUAGGAGAUACAGCUCCUCCUAACCAUCUUCUGCCAUUGACAAGGAUGAUCGGUAAAGUUCAUUUUACAAUUCUAUUCACAAGCUCUGUUCUAUAAAUGGGGAAGUUGGUAACUUCUUCUCUAGUGGCUCUUGCGUGUAUGUAUGGCUAGCAAUUCCAUUUACUAUUUUAUACGCAAUAGCUUAGAUUUAUGUAACUAAUUAUAACUCAUCCUUGUAAAGUUCAAUUUGUUGCCCAUUGGUUCAAGGAAACUCCAAUGCAAGUAAACCACAUUCAUGUUU